rnacentral:rRNA from 1 species
GAGUGGCGGACGGGUGAGUAAUGUCUGGGAAACUGCCUGAUGGAGGGGGAUAACUACUGGAAACGGUAGCUAAUACCGCAUAACGUCGCAAGACCAAAGAGGGGGACCUUCGGGCCUCUUGCCAUCGGAUGUGCCCAGAUGGGAUUAGCUAGUAGGUGGGGUAACGGCUCACCUAGGCGACGAUCCCUAGCUGGUCUGAGAGGAUGACCAGCCACACUGGAACUGAGACACGGUCCAGACUCCUACGGGAGGCAGCAGUGGGGAAUAUUGCACAAUGGGCGCAAGCCUGAUGCAGCCAUGCCGCGUGUAUGAAGAAGGCCUUCGGGUUGUAAAGUACUUUCAGCGGGGAGGAAGGGAGUAAAGUUAAUACCUUUGCUCAUUGACGUUACCCGCAGAAGAAGCACCGGCUAACUCCGUGCCAGCAGCCGCGGUAAUACGGAGGGUGCAAGCGU